rnacentral:rRNA from 1 species
UACAGAGGUCUCAAGCGUUGUUCGGAUUCAUUGGGCGUAAAGGGUGCGUAGGUGGCGCCGUAAGUCAGGUGUGAAAUCCCGGGGCUCAACCCCGGAACUGCACUUGAUACUGCGGUGCUUGAGUACUGGAGAGGAGAUUGGAAUUUACGGUGUAGCAGUGAAAUGCGUAGAUAUCGUAAGGAAGACCAGUGGCGAAGGCGAAUCUCUGGACAGUUCCUGACGCUGAGGCACGAAGGUCAGGGGAGCAAACGGG